UACGUGGGGGGCAAGCGUUGUCCGGAAUUAUUGGGCGUAAAGAGCUCGUAGGCGGUUUGUCACGUCUGCUGUGAAAUCCCGAGGCUCAACCUCGGGCCUGCAGUGGGUACGGGCAGACUGGAGUGCGGUAGGGGAGAAUGGAAUUCCUGGUGUAGCGGUGGAAUGCGCAGAUAUCAGGAGGAACACCGAUGGCGAAGGCAGUUCUCUGGGCCGUAACUGACGCUGAGGAGCGAAAGCGUGGGGAGCGAACAGG
rnacentral:rRNA from 1 species